AGGGAUAUAGCUCAGUAGUAGAGCACAUGCUUAGCAUAAGGCCUUGGGUUCAAUCCCCAGCACCACCA
rfam:Ictidomys tridecemlineatus contig051258, whole genome shotgun sequence.